rnacentral:rRNA from 1 species
AACGAACGCUGGCGGCAUGCCUAACACAUGCAAGUCGAACGAGACCUUCGGGUCUAGUGGCGCACGGGUGGGUAACGCGUGGGAACCUGCCCUUAGGUUCGGAAUAACUCCCCGAAAGGGGUGCUAAUACCGGAUAAUGUCUUCGGACCAAAGAUUUAUCGCCUUUGGAUGGGCCCGCGUUGGAUUAGCUAGUUGGUAGGGUAGAAGCCUAUCAAGGCGUCGUUGCAUAGCUGGUCUGAGAGGAGGAUCCGCCACACUGGGGCUGAGGCACGGCCCAGAAUCCUACGGGAGGGAGCAGAGGAGAAUAUUGGCCGAGGGGCGAAGGCCUGAUCCAGCAAUGCCGCGUAAGUGAUGAAGGCCUUAGGGUUGUGAAGCUCUUUUACACGGGGUGAUAAUGACGGUACCGGGAGAAUAAGCACCGGCUAACUCCGUG